rnacentral:rRNA from 1 species
GAUGAACGCUGGCGGCGUGCCUAAUACAUGCAAGUCGAGCGAACAGACGAGGAGCUUGCUCCUCUGAUGUUAGCGGCGGACGGGUGAGUAACACGUGGAUAACCUACCUAUAAGACUGGGAUAACUUCGGGAAACCGGAGCUAAUACCGGAUAACAUGUUGAACCGCAUGGUUCAACAGUGAAAGACGGUCUUGCUGUCACUUAUAGAUGGAUCCGCGCCGCAUUAGCUAGUUGGUAAGGUAACGGCUUACCAAGGCAACGAUGCGUAGCCGACCUGAGAGGUGGAUCGGCCACACUGGAACUGGGACACGGUCCAGACUCCUACGGGAGGCAGCAGUAGGGAAUCUUCCGCAAUGGGCGAAAGCCUGACGGAGCAACGCCGCGUGAGUGAAGAAGGUCUUCGGAUCGUAAAACUCUGUUAUUAGGGAAGAACAAAUGUGUAAGUAACUAUGCACGUCUUGACGGUACCUAAGCAGAAAGCCACGGCUAACUACGU